CGCCUAAACCCUACGGGGCAUGGCCAAAAAUCCUACGCGAAUAGAAACGGCCUCGUAAUCGCCGCUGCUUAUUCGCGUAGGUCUACGCCCGAAAGGGUGUAGGGCAUGUCCGAAAGGAUAUGUC
rnacentral:sRNA from 1 species